UACGUAGGGUCCGAGCGUUGUCCGGAAUUAUUGGGCGUAAAGGGCUCGUAGGCGGUUUGUCACGUCGGGAGUGAAAACUCAGGGCUCAACCCUGAGCGUGCUUCUGAUACGGGCAGACUAGAGGUAUGCAGGGGAGAACGGAAUUCCUGGUGUAGCGGUGGAAUGCGCAGAUAUCAGGAGGAACACCGGUGGCGAAGGCGGUUCUCUGGGCAUUACCUGACGCUGAGGAGCGAAAGCAUGGGGAGCGAACAGG
rnacentral:rRNA from 1 species